rnacentral:miRNA from 1 species
GCUGACACAUCCCUGCCAAUCUCCGGCAGACCCUCCCUCCCAGACCCUCCUACUUCCUGGACAGCAUCCAUGUUGAAGGCAGCUUCAACAUGGAUGCUGUCCAGGAGGUGGGAGGGUCUGGGAGGGAGGGUCUGCUGGACAUUGGCAGGGAUGUGUCAG